UACGUAGGGCGCAAGCGUUGUCCGGAAUUAUUGGGCGUAAAGAGCUCGUAGGCGGUUUGUCGCGUCUGCUGUGAAAACCUAAGGCUCAACCUUGGGCUUGCAGUGGGUACGGGCAGACUAGAGUGCGGUAGGGGUGACUGGAAUUCCUGGUGUAGCGGUGAAAUGCGCAGAUAUCAGGAAGAACACCGAUGGCGAAGGCAGUUCUCUGGGACGGUACUGACGCUGAGACGCGAAAGCGUGGGGAGCGAACAGG
rnacentral:rRNA from 1 species